AUUCAGUGUGAAACUUGUGGGAGAUGGUUUCACACGCAGUGCCUCGGAGUGCCUGCUGCACGAAUACCCAAAAAGAAUACCCCGUGGUAUUGUGUUUUGUGUAUCCUCACAAACUAAAGAGGCUAGAGAUUGCCUACCCGGUUCCGACCCUGCCUGUCCCCGACCUGCCUGCUCUGCCUGCUCUGCCUGAUCCCUGAUCCUGCCUGUACCUCCGUUGACCGCCUCGCCUGCUCCCUGACCCUCUGCCCGGCCCUGACUCACCUUCUGCCCGCUGUCCUCUGGUUCGUUUGCCUGCCCAUCAUCCGGCUGAUACUGUUCUGUUAUCCCUCUGCUCUGGUAUUAUUACAAAUAAAGUUCAUUACCAAUA